UGCCAGCCGCCGCGGUAAUACGGAGGGUGCAAGCGUUAUCCGGAUUCAUUGGGUUUAAAGGGUGCGCAGGCUGCGUAGUAAGUCAGUGGUGAAAUCGUCGGGCUCAACCCGAUCACUGCCAUUGAUACUGCUAUGCUAGAAUUUAUUCGACGAGAGAGGAAUGCGACAAGUAGCGGUGAAAUGCAUAGAUAUGUCGCAGAACACCGAUAGCGAAGGCAUCUCUUGAGGAUAUAAUUGACGCUGAGGCACGAAAGCGUGGGUAGCAAACAGGAUUAGAUA
rnacentral:rRNA from 1 species